rnacentral:lncRNA from 1 species
CCGAAACCCCGUUGUGUGGGAGCUGGGCACAGGGCAGCAGGACUAAUCCUUGGAACAGCUCAGGGAGGAUUAUCCCAGCCACUGUCAGCAGCGGUGCAGCUGGCUCAUUCCCAUAUAGGGGGAGGCCAGAGCCAGGGGCCUGCCACAAGUUGGAAGGCUGGGGAAGGGGAGGCCAGCAGAGGUGUCCUGGCUGUGGGUGGCUCUGAGGGGGCUCUCAGGGGUGGGGCUAAAUCUCAGGGGCAGGAUUAUGUAAAUCAAACCAAUUCUAGCCACAGAUUCAAAGUUUGGAAAAAAAAAAAAAACCCAGCCUGGCGGAAAGAAUUUAAAUUAUAAAAACUUAGAAGUAUGGAAUGUGAAAUCAUCCUGUAGGUGCUUAUUUAACAACGAAAUCAUCCCGACACAAUGAGCCAUAUGUGAAAAGUCAUCCUUCCCCAACACAUCCCCCAACAGGCACUCCUCAAG